rnacentral:rRNA from 1 species
GUCUACGGGCAUACUACGUUGAAAAUACCACCUCUCGUCCGAUCCCUGAAGUUGAACAACGUCGAGCCGAGUCAGUACAUGGGAGGGAGAACACUUGGAAACACGUCGUAGACU